GUGGGGAAUAUUGGACAAUGGGCGAAAGCCUGAUCCAGCCAUGCCGCGUGUGUGAAGAAGGUCUUCGGAUUGUAAAGCACUUUAAGUUGGGAGGAAGGGCAGUAAGUUAAUACCUUGCUGUUUUGACGUUACCGACAGAAUAAGCACCGGCUAACUUCGUGCCAGCAGCCGCGGUAAUACGAAGGGUGCAAGCGUUAAUCGGAAUUACUGGGCGUAAAGCGCGCGUAGGUGGUUUUGUAAGUUGGAGGUGAAAUCCCCGGGCUCAACCUGGGAACUGCCUCCAAAACUGCAUGACUAGAGUACGGUAGAGGGUAGUGGAAUUUCCUGUGUAGCGGUGAAAUGCGUAGAUAUAGGAAGGAACACCAGUGGCGAAGGCGACUACCUGGACUGAUACUGACACUGAGGUGCGAAAGUGUGGGGAGCAAACAGGAUUAGAAACCCUUGUAGUCC
rnacentral:rRNA from 1 species